CCUGCGAAAUGAAUUCUAUUGGGGAUCCAGGCGUUAACAUAAAGCAAAAAUGAGAUUGUGCAGCGAUUAUACUGAUGUAUGGAGAAAACCGAUCUUUAGAAAAACAGUUAAGAAGUAACAAAUUUGGAAUAAGAUCUAAAAAUCUUUAAUCUGGAUGAAGUCCCAUAGAAUUACCAAUUUAUAGGAAGUUCGUCAGCAGCAAGUGAAUCAAAAUGACAGCUAUUGAGAUAGGUAAAUGUGAGCUACGAUUCAACGAAGGCCAGAGCUUCUGCCCAAUAAGACAUUUUCGAGAAGUUCGUUGAAAACCACCUACCGGUCAAGGGGAUUGUGCACGAGCAUUUUAGAAACAAGAUCCUUUGCUGAACUGCUUACUGCAUCCCAUAUAGGACCUGACAUCUGGAACAGGAUAAAUUCGUUUGCUCAGCAUCCAGUACGCAAAUACAACGGAGUUACUAUUUGCGGGACCAGAGUGAGGAUUCAUAAGCUUAAACCGGAGAAUUGGGCUCAUCGACCUUUUUUAUGAAACUGAUUGUUGGAGACUCACUGUUUACGAUAACAUCGUUCACGGCCCGUUAGGAGCUAUACGCAAUCGUGUAUUUGAUUAAAAAUGUUGAUUGCCGAAGAUCUACUUCGGGAUACAUUAAAGGUCUAUAAACUGUCACUUAAUUAUCACGUUAAAUAGAUUGCAAAAAGAAGUGCAAAUGGUUACAGGGAAAAAGUCGACAAGAUUGCAGGUCGAAUCCGCCAGACAUGAUGGACAUCGCGCAUCCUGGCCGAGGAUGGCUUGAGGAAGACAUGUGAGCAAUGAAGCGCCUCCGAUGGCAAAUGAUUCCGGCUUUGGUUACGAGUCUACACGUGUACGGGGUUGUAUAAAAAGAUCGUAAAAUCGGUUUAU